UUUCAGUGCACAGAACAUUUGUCCCUGACAGUCAUCUGAAGAUCUGGGUUCAAGGCCAGUAGGAAGCCAUACUUGGGAGAAGAAAGCAGGAGACAGAAAGGUGGCUGGCCCAGAUUGAAGAAAGAGAGAGCACUGCAGUGAAUCACAUCAAAGGCGAGCCAGCGUGGGAUCAGGGAAACCUGUGCAGGAUUGACAAAACAGCAUUUUAAACAGAGGAAAUUUAACAGAAGGAAUUGGUAAUAAACAUGUAAGAAAGACUG